rnacentral:rRNA from 1 species
UACGGAGGGGGCUAGCGUUGUCCGAAGUUCCUGGGCGUAAAGCGCGCGUAGGCGGGUUGGUAAGUCCGCUGUGAAAGCCCGGAGCUCAACUCCGGAGGGUCGGUGGAUACUGCCAGUCUUGAAGGUGCUAGGGGGAGAUGGAAUUACCGGUGUAGCGGUGAAAUGCGUAGAUAUCGGUAGGAACACCAGUGGCGAAGGCGGUCUCCUGGGGCAUUCUUGACGCUGAGGCGCGAAAGCGUGGGGAGCGAACAGG